GUCCUAGCUUUGAUAGUACAUAUACUGAAAUUGGCAUGAUACAGAGAAGAUUAGCAUGGCCCCUGCUCAAGGAUUACACACAAAUUCAUGAAGUGUAACAUAUUUUU